AUACGGAGGGUGCAAGCGUUAAUCGGAAUUACUGGGCGUAAAGCGUACGUAGGUGGUUUAUUAAGUCAGAUGUGAAAGCCCCGGGCUCAACCUGGGAACUGCAUUUGAAACUAGUAGACUCGAGUAUGGUAGAGGGGGGUAGAAUUUCUAGUGCAGCGGUGAAAUGCGUAGAUAUUAGAAGGAAUACCAGUGGCGAAGGCGGCCCCCUGGACCAAUACUGACACUGAGGUACGAAAGCGUGGGUAGCGAACAGGAUUAGAUACCCUAGUAGUCC
rnacentral:rRNA from 1 species